ACCUUCUGUGGUGUAGUUGGUAGUGCCUAAGCACAGCAAGUCUGUGUCCUAGGUUCGAAUCCUGGUUGGGGUA